AUCGAACGCUGGCGGCAGGCCUAACACAUGCAAGUCGAGCGAGCGGCGGACCGGUGAGUAAUGUAUGGGGAACUGCCCGAUAGCGGGGGAUAACUACUGCAAACGGUGGCUAAUACCGCAUACUCUCGGAUGAACCCCUAGGGGAUGAGCUAGUAGGUGGGGUAAAGGCUCACCUACGCGCCGAUCUCUAGCUGGUCUGAGAGGAUGAUCGGCCACACUGGGACUGAGACACGGCCCAGACUCCUACGGGAGGCAGCAGUGGGGAAUAUUGCACAGUGGGCGCAGGCCUGAUGCAGCCAUGCCGCGUGUAUGAAGAAGGCAGUCGGGGUGUAAAGUACUAUCAGUCGGGAGGCGUUACCGACAGGAGGAGCACCGGCUGACUCCGUGCCAGCAGCCGGGGUAAUAC
rnacentral:rRNA from 1 species